UACGGAGGGUGCGAGCGUUGUCCGGAAUCACUGGGCGUAAAGGGCGCGUAGGCGGCCUGAUAAGUAGGGGGUGAAAUCCUGCGGCUUAACCGCAGGGCUGCCUUCUAAACUGUCAGGCUGGAGCACAGUAGAGGCAGGUGGAAUUCCCGGUGUAGCGGUGGAAUGCGUAGAGAUCGGGAAGAACAUCAGUGGCGAAGGCGGCCCGCUGGGCUGUUGCUGACGCUGAGGCGCGAAAGCGUGGGGAGCGAACAGG
rnacentral:rRNA from 1 species